AUGCUGCAGACCUAUCAGCUGUCAAAACAGCAUUCUCCAGCUUGUGCACAGCUUAAACAAACACACUUCCACCUGCCAAAUUCAAUUGCACAGAGGAACCACCAGCUGACCAGUAUGAAAAGAAAGGAGGAAGCAGAUGUGGAAAAACAGGUAGGUGGAAAUGAUACAUCCAGAAAGACAGUGCCACCCCAGCCCUGCACAAGAAGCCCACAUUGUGAGCAUAGAGAUGAGUCACAGCCACUCCACCGAGGCAGCAGUGAGAAGAACACUUGCCUCCAGAGCCAGAUGCAGGAGUGUGAACAUCUCACCUGCUUUAAAAAAGAAAUGAAGAGAGGAGGGUGCAAAUCCAUCAGGAUUUAAGGAUCAUGCUGCAGGAUGACACACUGCUGGCAUCCAGGAGCUUGACAAUUUCGGCAGCAUCGCAAUUGGACUUUACCAUAGAAUGAUAAAGAGAAGGUAAAGCAGUCCCAGCAAAAAGCUUUCUC
rnacentral:lncRNA from 1 species